rnacentral:rRNA from 1 species
GGUUCCUACAAUGCAAGUCGAGCGAACAGACAAGGAGCUUGCUCCUUUGACGUUAGCGGCGGACGGGUGAGUAACACGUGGGCAACCUACCCUAUAGUUUGGGAUAACUCCGGGAAACCGGGGCUAAUACCGAAUAAUCUCUUUUGCUUCAUGGGGAAAGACUGAAAGACGGUUUCGGCUGACGCUAUAGGAUGGGCCCGCGGCGCAUUAGCUAGUUGGUGAGGUAACGGCUCACCAAGGCGACGAUGCGUAGCCGACCUGAGAGGGUGAUCGGCCACACUGGGACUGAGACACGGCCCAGACUCCUACGGGAGGCAGCAGUAGGGAAUCUUCCACAAUGGGCGAAAGCCUGAUGGAGCAACGCCGCGUGAGUGAAGAAGGUUUUCGGAUCGUAAAACUCUGUUGUAAGGGAAGAACAAGUACAGUAGUAACUGGCUGUACCUUGACGGUACCUUAUUAGAAAGCCACGGCUAACUACGUGCCAGCAGCCGCAGUAAUACGUAGGUGGCAAGCGUUGUCCGGAAUUAUUGGGCGUAAAGCGCGCGCAGGCGGUCCUUUAAGUCUGAUGUGAAAGCCCACGGCUCAACCGUGCAGGGUCAUUGGGAAACUGGGGGACUUGAGUGCAGAAGAGGAAAGUGUGAAUUCCAAGUGUAGCGGAGAAAUGCGUAGAGAUUUGGAGGAACACCACUGGCGAAUGCGACUUUCUGGUCUGUAACUGACGCUGAGGCGCGAAAGCGUGGGGAGCAAACACGAUUAGAUACCCUGGUAGUCCACGCCGUAAACGAUGAGUUGCUAACCUGUUAGGCGGGUUUCCGCCCCCUUUAGUGCUGCAAACUAACACCAUUAAGGCACUCCGCCUGCGGGAAGUACUGGUCGCUAAGACUGAAAUCUCAAAGGGAAUUGAACGGGGCGCCCGGCACCAAAUGCGGGUGGUAGCAUCUGGGUUUAAUUUCAAAAACAACUACCAAACAACCUUUACCCACGGUCUUAGACUUUCCCCG